rnacentral:rRNA from 1 species
AGCGAACGCUAGCGGCGGGCCUAACACAUGCAAGUCGAGCGCAUACCUUCGGGUAUGAGCGGCGGACGGGUGAGUAACACGUAGGUAAUCUACCCUUUGGUGGGGAAUAACCCGGGGAAACUCGGGCUAAUGCCGCACGAGGUCUACGGAUCAAAGCCUUCGGGCGCCAGAGGAUGAGCCUGCGUUGCAUUACCUAGUUGGCGGGGUAACGGCCCACCAAGGGGACGAUGCAUAGCUGGUCUGAGAGGAUGAUCAGCCACACUGGGACUGAGACACGGCCCAGACUCCUACGGGAGGCAGCAGUGGGGAAUAUUGCGCAAUGGGGGGAAACCCUGACGCAGCUACGCCGCGUGGGUGAUGAAGGCCUUCGGGUUGUAAAGCCCUGUCGGGAGGGACGAAUACUGACGGGUACCUCCCAAGAAAGCACCGGCUAACUCCGUGCCAGCAGCCGCGGUAAU